UGUGUGUGUGUGUGUGUGUGUGUGUGUGUGUGUGCUGUCGGAGAGAGAUGAAAACCAUACUGUGGCUUUUACCUGUGACAUCUACAGACAGAUAGGAGAGAGACUGACUGAAUCACUGUCUGUAUUUGAGUGUUUGCUGCACCUUGUGAAUAUAUGCUUGUCUUGUGUUUAAAACAGGAUUUUAUUUAAAUGUGCGGUGUAAAGGAAGAGGGUGCUCUGUGAAAGAUCAGUUUCUUUUAAUGGUGAUUUUAAGGAUGCUCUCCUAAAGUGAGGGCUUUUUGAUUGUUAUUGAUGUGGAUUAGCAGUUUGAUUUUAAAGUAUUGUGUUAAUUAAGUCAGAAUAACAGAAUGGCCCAAAGCCGAGGUCGAAAAUAGAUGCUACAGAGAGCAGCAGGCUUGGCUUUGGUUGAACAUAAUGUGCAAUAACCUACAUCUUAUUUUGUCGGCACAUAUUAGAUAUAUUAUUAAAUUUCUCCCAGUUCAGCCGUCAUUCAGUGGCAUCUACAACGUGAACUAAACCACCAACAAGUCCAAGAUUCCAGUUGUGUUAAUGUAAUGGUCACUAAACAUAGAUGGAGUAGAAGAACCCACUUUCCAGAUGGGGAAUGGAGGUCAAAGGUUGAUGUUUAGUUCUGCUGUUGCCUUUAUCUUGACGUAAUUUAGCACUUUACCAUCCUGUGAGCAGGAGCGAUAUAAGCUUUUUAACUAUGCAGCGGACAACUCUUACUGUAUUGUAGCUUCUCUGCAUUAUAGAACCCAAUUUGUGCUUUUUUUUCUUUUUAUCAAAUAGUAAUGUACUGUAUGCAUUUGUUACAUGUGUAGUCAUACACAGAGGCGUGUACACGUAAACAGUUUGAACUUGCUGCUUUG